UACAGAGGUGGCAAGCGUUGUUCGGAAUUACUGGGCGUAAAGGGCGCGUAGGCGGCCUGCUAAGUCGAACGUGAAAUCCCUGGGCUCAACCCAGGAACUGCGUCCGAUACUGGUUGGCUUGAAUCCGGGAGAGGGAUGUGGAAUUCCAGGUGUAGCGGUGGAAUGCGUAGAUAUCUGGAGGAACACCGGUGGCGAAGGCGACAUCCUGGACCGGUAUUGACGCUGAGGCGCGAAAGCCAGGGGAGCAAACGGG
rnacentral:rRNA from 1 species